AGGAAUUCCACACAGUGUUUGGAACACAAGGAUGAAUCCUGAUGGCUCCCGCUGGUUGCUAGGUAACGUCUGUUUGGUACAAUCUGGUUCACAUCAUAAUGGUUCUUUUGCCAACAGGAGCUGGUAAUCAGGAUGGCAGUGAGGCAGGCACUUGCUUGCAGAAGAACAGGCCUAGUUUUUUAAGAAGCCACAAAAGUGUCUUUGGAUGAUUAGGAUCUAAGGGGCCAACAGCUUUGCAAUAACAGCAUAAAUAUUGUGGGCUGGAUGGACAGGCACCAAAUGGGGACAUUCCAUCCUGCUGUGUGAUGAGAAAGCUGCCACUUUUGAGGCCUUCCAAAACAAAUCAACACUCCAUAUGCCAGAAGGAAAAGCCCAGGAAAGACCUAUUCCAACUGGAGAUGGUGAAUGUCAUUUCUUCAAGAAGCUGAGAUCCAGCUGGUACUGCCAGGUGGAGAGAAUACGAAGGGAGAAUGAAACAAAACUGCUCCGCUUAGGGAACUUGGAAAGGAAAUUGAAAAGGCAAGGCACAGGCUGGAAGAAAAUAUUUGAAAAAGAUUUAUGUGAACUUCUUUCUGGAUUAUACAAAAUAUUUUUAGAUAUUCUUACAACUCUAAAAUAAGAUAACUCCUUAAAAAUCUAAAUUCUACCAAAGGAGAGAUAAAGAUGACGAAUACAUUCAAAGAUGCUGAAAAUCACUUAUUUAUUAUUAGGAAGUUACAAGCUAAAGCAUAAUGAGAUACCACUACAACCUACUAAACUGACUAAAAUUAAUCAGACUAACCAGGUGUUGGCAAGAAACAGGGACACUGAGACUCUCACACUGCUGGAAGGAAUGUAAAAUGCUAAAACUUCUUUGGAAAUGAGUUCAGUAACUUUUUAAACAGUUGAAAAUAGACCUAUCAUGCAAACCAGCAAUCCCACUUCCAGGUAUUUAUACAAGGAAAAUGACAACAUAUGCCCACAUAAAGACUUGUGCACAAAUGACCGUAGCAGCUUUGUGAUAAUUGCUAAAAACUAGAAACUUGUCAAGUGUCCAACAGCUAAGGAAAUAGAGACAAACUACAUAAGUUGCUGAAAAAUCACAGCAAAUAAUUAGCUGAGGAAGAGACUCAAAUCUAUCAGAACUGCUUGACUUUUGAUCCUGAGCUUAUGCGCAUCCAGUGGGCAAGUGAGGGUGCAUGGGUUUGUGAAGACUCCAGCAGUAUGAUUGGGGACACAGGGUCUCCCUAUGUUGCCCAGGCUGGUAUCGAACUCUGUUGCCCAGGCUGGUAUUGAACUCCUGCGCUCAAGUGAUCCUCCUGCCUCAGCCUCCCAAAAUGCUGGGAUUACAGGUACAGGGUGAACUCCGAGACCAUCUCUCCUAUUCAUUUACAUCCUCAGAACUUAGCACGAUGUCUGACCAUAGUGGAUUUUCAAUAAGUAACUAUGGGUUGACAUGCAGGCUGGACAUACAGUGGGCCUCGAUUGCUUAGAAGCCAAACUGAACUCACCAAGAAAAGAAGACAGGAGAAACUUCUCAAGAGGAAUAUCUCCAAAUUGCAGGAUCGAAUACCAUAAGAGGAAUUCUGGACUGAAGAGUUAUGAAGUCAUUUCAGACACUUCCAGACAAUUUGUGUUAAUUAAAUUCUCACUGGUUGAGUUCCAUUCUACACUGGAAGAGCAUUUUUCCUGGAAAGGCUCCUCAAAAUGUACCUUUGGCAAACACAGAGAGGUAUGCUCAUAGAAGAGGUGAGUUUGGAACUGCAAAUCCUCCCAGCCUCAGGACCUCUCUUUUGGUUGCCUGCUCUGCUACAAAGCUGGAGAUCUAAAGUGGAGGCGUGUAGAAGACACCGUCUGGCUGGACACCAUCAAGAGUCACCUCCUCAGUGAAGCCUUCCAUGGUUUCAUACCACCCAUCCCUAUCGGAAUGAAUGUAUCCUUGUUCUCCGUUAUCCCAGUAUUUUGCCUGGGCUUCUGUCACACUACUUUCAAUGUCUAUACCUCAGUUAUCGAAUCGAAAAACAAGAGUCAUCAGUCUCUAAGGUCCUUGCAAGCUUCAAAACUUUAUAUUUUUGUCAAUUACAACUGAAUAAAGCUGAACAACUUAUUAUUUAUGGAUACUUGCUCAAGCACCAUAUAACUCUUUCAGAUAUUUUAAAAGAAUAUGUUUGCAAAAGACUCCAAAUCAAUGUAUUAAAUUGAAAUCCAGUAUCAAAACACCCAUUAAAGUGCUCUUUUGAAAUUGUACAUUUUAUAUCAAUAAAAUUUCAAAAUAUAAAAACCUCUAUUUUACUUGUUGAAUUCUUAGGAAUAAUAACUAAACAGUUUUAAAAUAUUAGUAGAAAGAUGGUGUCUUUGAAAUAAGAAGAAUGGAGUUGGAGCAUAAGUUGCUU
rnacentral:lncRNA from 1 species